rnacentral:rRNA from 1 species
UACGUAGGGUGCAAGCGUUGUUCGGAAUUACUGGGCGUAAAGCGCACGUAGGCGGCUUUGCAAGUCAGAGGUGAAAGCCCGGGGCUCAACCCCGGAAUUGCCUUUGAGACUGCAUCGCUAGAAUUGUGGAGAGGUAAGUGGAAUUCCGAGUGUAGAGGUGAAAUUCGUAGAUAUUCGGAAGAACACCAGUGGCGAAGGCGACUUACUGGACACAUAUUGACGCUGAGGUGCGAAAGCGUGGGGAGCAAACAGGG